rnacentral:rRNA from 1 species
CCUACGGGAGGCAGCAGUGGGGGAUAUUGCACAAUGGGGGAAACCCUGAUGCAGCGACGCCGCGUGUGGGAAGACGGUCCUCUGGAUUGUAAACCACUGUCCCCAGGGACGAAGAUGACGGUACCUGGGGAGGAAGCUCCGGCUAACUACGUGCCAGCAGCCGCGGUAAUACGUAGGGAGCGAGCGUUGUCCGGAAUUACUGGGUGUAAAGGGAGCGUAGGCGGGACUGCAAGUUGGGUGUCAAAUCUACCGGCUCAACCGGUAGCCGCACUCAAAACUGCAGUUCUUGAGUGAAGUAGAGGCAGGCGGAAUUCCUAGUGUAGCGGUGAAAUGCGGAGAUAUUAGGAGGAAUACCAGUGGCGAAGGCGGCCUGCUGGGCUUUUACUGACGCUGAGGCUCGAAAGUGUGGGGAGCAAACAGGAGUAGAUACCCUUGUAGUC